AUUGAACGCUGGCGGCAGGCUUAACACAUGCAAGUCGAGCGGGGUGAUGGUGCUUGCACUAUCACUUAGCGGCGGACGGGUGAGUAAUGCUUAGGAAUCUGCCUAUUAGUGGGGGACAACAUCUCGAAAGGGAUGCUAAUACCGCAUACGUCCUACGGGAGAAAGCAGGGGAUCACUUGUGACCUUGCGCUAAUAGGUGAGCCUAAGUCGGAUUAGCUAGUUGGUGGGGUAAAGGCCUACCAAGGCGACGAUCUGUAGCGGGUCUGAGAGGAUGAUCCGCCACACUGGGACUGAGACACGGCCCAGACUCCUACGGGAGGCAGCAGUGGGGAAUAUUGGACAAUGGGGGGAACCCUGAUCCAGCCAUGCCGCGUGUGUGAAGAAGGCCUUAUGGUCGUAAAGCACUUUAAGCGAGGAGGAGGCUCUUUUGGUUAAUACCCAAGAUGAGUGGACGUUACUCGCAGAAUAAGCACCGGCUAACUCUGUGCCAGCCGCCGCGGUAA
rnacentral:rRNA from 1 species